CAACUGCACAAUGCCAUGUUUCUGUUACUCUGCAAGUUUAAAUAUGUCAGAUUGAUAUGAAAGACAGAUGCAAUAACUGAAUCAUUCAGAUUUUAAGCAGUGAAGCCCCAGAGCAGUGCAAAACCAAUGUCACAUGGUGGUCAGUGAAACUGAGAACACAGCAGUACCAAGUCAGAUGGGAAGCACCAUGCAGCCAGUGGUGAAACAUAUUGAUAACUUCAGAAGACACUUGCAAAAUCUCAGCUCUGUGACUUGGGAACAUCUGGUAUGGCACAGGCUAAGACCUCACUGAAGCUGUUAGUUGUCAUUUGUGGCAUCAUAGGAAUGCAUCUCUGAUGGAGUCAGAAAGUCUUAUUCUUGUGAAUAAUAACACCUCAAAUAACUUCCAUUUGAUUUUCCCACUGUUGGUUUUAUGUCAGUCCUUAGCACAGUUUCUGUGUAUGCAGCUACUUCACUGGCCAUUCACUAGCGUGUCUCCAUCAGUGCAGACCUGUGUUUUCAGUCAGGUUAGGCUGAAGAGCU